AAAGGACGAGGACUUCCUGACCAGAGAGUCAAAACUUACUAUAGGUGUCCCAUUGAGCUUGUUUACAUGUGCGAUUAGCAUUUGCACCCAACAUAUCCGUAUUGUCCUCGUGCUUUGUCUCAUUUCUAGUUAAAGGCAGAGUUGUCUACUCACCUGACUGGCGGUGGCACUCCAGAAAAGGUUUUUCGCUACUCGUUCUGACUGAACUUUUUAAACAAAUGGAAUCACCAGGGUUUGAUUCUACUUUAUACUACCGUUGAGCUAUGCUAAUGUUGUUGUAAGACAUCAGUUGAAUGAUAAACGGAUUGAUACAUAACCAACAGUCCCUAUCUAAUAGGGUACCAAGAAUUAUUGGCAUGUUCAUUUGCAUGUUUGGGGCUGCAAGCCUAUAUUUACACACCCUUACUCAGGUGAGGUAAUUUCCACUGAGUUCAUCAAGAAGAAAACUUAGGAUGGCAGACCAAAUAAUCUCCAUGUUACAAGCACACCAUCACACCUUACAGACUGACAAGGAAAUACCUUUGAGACUCAUACCAAAUUCAAGACGAUCAGGACACCAAGACAGCUAAAGAUCAGCAUGAAGGACUGAUUUGAUUUUAGCCACUUGAACAGCCAAAGGCUUAGUCACUGGAAGCAGCCUGGAUGCUUUAAGAAUACAGAAAGUCUCCCUCUUCGUGCAAUGCAAAGUCUGGGUGCAAUGCAAGAUUUUUUCCACCUCCCUGAAGAAACUGGUUUCAGUUCAGAGACAAACCAGAGAACACUGCAAUCUGCAAUCACUGCCAGCAUUAAUAAUUUCCCACGUCACAACUGGAAUUAGUAAGAUGGAGCUAAAAUAGGAAGAAUGCAGAGACCACUUUCAGAAGGCAACUGGGGAUACUUCUAAAAGAUUGUUGUGUGUGUCAGUUAAAACCACCCACGUUGCAAAUUAUAUAUACUUAUUCCUGUAAGCUCAACUCAGAAAUGUGUUCUGCUGUAUUCAACUUCAUCAGCAGAAGUUGCAUUGAACCUUACAGUAAAGUAAGAUUAUGAUAAUUUUGCAAAACAGAUAUAUUCUUUUUUCUGCUUUCCCCUGCUCAUUCAAGUUUACAGCCUUUUCAUGCAGAGACUGAAUUAUGGUGUGUUUGAUGCUUUGCACCGCUAACAUUAUGAUCUUGGGAAUCAUUUUAUCAAUGGGAAACUAGCAAAACAAGUACUGAAAUUGUACUCUGAGGAAUCUGAUUUCUAUGUAGCAUAACACUGCAUGAGUAUAGCAUCUUAUCAGUAAAUACUAGUAAAAAUAAGAAGCCCACGAUAUGUGAAAAAUGGAAUAUGAACAGGAAACAUUGUGUCUCAAGCUACAGUAAACUCAUCAGAGA